AUGGCUGUCGUCAGCUCGUGUCGUGAGAUGUUGGGUUAAGUCCCGUAACGAGCGCAACCCCUAUCCUUAUUUGCCAGCACAUUAUGGUGGGAACUAUAAGGAGACUGCCGGUGAUAAACCGGAGGAAGGCGGGGACGACGUCAAGUCAUCAUGGCCCUUACGACCAGGGCUACACACGUGCUACAAUGGGAAGUACAAAGAGUCGCGAAGCCGCGAGGUGUAGCUAAUCUCACAAAUCUUCUCGUAGUCCGGAUUGGAGUCUGCAACUCGACUCCAUGAAGUCGGAAUCGCUAGUAAUCGUAGAUCAGAAUGCUACGGUGAAUACGUUCCCGGGUCUUGUACACACCGCCCGUCAUACCAUGGGAGUGGGUUGCACCAGAAGUGGCUAGUCUAACUUUGUGAGGACGGUCACCACGGUGUGAUUCAUGACUGGGGUAAAGUCGUAACAAGGUAGCCCUACCGGAAGGUGGGGCUGGAUCACCUCCUUAAGAAAAGUACGAGUGUUCACACAAGUUGUUUGAUAAAAAUAUAGUAGAGAGAAAAGACCAAUAACCCAAAAUCAAUGUUAUUGAUAUUAAGGGUCUGUAGCUCAGUUGGUUAGAGCGCACCCCUGAUAAGGGUGAGGUCGGUGGUUCAAAUCCACCCAGACCCACCAUUUUACUGGGUUAUUAGUUUUAUUUUGGGGGCUAUAGCUCAGCUGGGAGAGCGCCUGAUUUGCAUUCAGGAGGUCAGCAGUUCGAUCCUGCUUAGCUCCACCAUUUUCUCUGAUGAAAACUUAAAUAAGAUUUAUUGUUAAGUUUUAUUUAAGUUUUUAUACCUAACCUUGGUUAGGAGCUCUUUAACAAUUUGGAUAUGAAGUAAAGUUUGUUAAAUACAAUACAACGUAUAAGUAGAUAUAUGUAAAUGUUAUCGAAGGUGUAUUGCAUUGACACAACAAUUUCAAAAAAUAUGGAUUCUCGAUGAUAGAUUAAUCUCUAUCAUUGAAAAUAGAAAUCACCGAUUAGAUCGAAAGAUUUAGUUAGUGACUUCACAAGGUGAAAUACGAAACCAGAUAACCUAGAUAUUUUGGGGUUAUAUGGUCAAGUGAAUAAGUGCAUACGACGGAUGCCUUGGCAGUAGAAGGCGAUGAAGGACGUGAUAAUCUGCGAUAAGCUUCGGUUAGCUGAUAAAUGAGCUUUAACCCGGAGAUCUCCGAAUGGGGAAACCCGG
rnacentral:sRNA from 1 species